AACCUAGCACACCUGCGGUGUGUACCUGCGGAGGGAUCAUUACAUGAUUUAACAGGGAGUGGAGGCUUCGGCCAAAGCUCUGUCUGAACCCAUGUCUUUUGCGUACUUCUUGUUUCCUCGGUGGGCUUGCCCGCCGAUAGGACAACCUUAAACUCUUUGCAAUUGCAAUCAGCGUCUGAAAAACUAUAAUAGUUACAACUUUUAACAAUGGAUCU
rnacentral:misc_RNA from 1 species